CCCUGGGAGGAGCAGAGCACAAACUGAAGUUACCUCAUCUCAGAAUAAAUAAAGAACAUGCAUUGAGGGGUUGCCCCGAGCAAAAGUGACAGUGUCUGCAGACUUUGGUCCAGUACCCAUAUCAUGAGCCUGGUGUCCCACUGCAAGUGUUCCUCAGAUGUCACCUGGAGCUUUGCAUGCUUCUCAAGUCCACAAGCCCUUCAGGUCCCUGUGCAGCUUUUCCAGCUGACAGCCAGGGAGGAGCUGCAUAGCAAGUUCAAUAGACAUCAGAUGUAAGGUAAUGCUGGAAAUUUUCUGGUGUUCUACAAAAUUCUGCAAGCUUCCCAAAGACAGCUGAAUGGAGGUUCAAACUGCCAAAAAUCAACACAAAAUAGGUAAGAAUCUAAAAAUGGUAAGAAUAGGUAUAAAGAAGCUUUUAGAAAUGGUAGAAUUGGU
rnacentral:lncRNA from 1 species